rnacentral:rRNA from 1 species
UUUUUUCAAAACAUGGUCUUUUGUUUAUAUAAAAGAAUCUGGCCUGCCCAAUGAUAUUAAUUUAAUGGCUGCAGUAUUUUGACUGUACAAAGGUAGCAUAAUCAUUUGUCUUUUAAUUGGAGUCUGGAAUGAAUGGUUAGAUGAAAGGUUUACUUUCUUUAUUUUAAAAAUAAAAUUUAAUUUUUAAAUUAAAAAGUUUAAUUGUUAAUAUAGGACGAGAAGACCCUAUAGAACUUUAUUUAUAAAAUUUCUUUGUUAAUUUGUUAAUUAUAAAUAUAUAUAUAUUUAUAAAUUUUGUUGGGGUGACAAAAAAAAUAUUUUAACUUUUUUUAAUUUAGACAUUUAUUUAUGUUUUUUUGAUCCUUUAUUAUGGAAUAUAAGAUUAAGUUACCUUAGGGAUAACAGCGUUAUUAUUUUGGAGAGUUCCUAUCAAUAAAAUAGUUUGCGACCUCGAUGUUGGAUUAAAAUUAGCUUCAGGAGUAGAAGAUUGAUGGCUAAGUCUGUUCGACUUUUAAAUUUUUACAUGAUCUGA